GGGGAAUUUUCCGCAAUGGGCGAAAGCCUGACGGAGCAGUACCGCGUGAGGGAGGAAGGCUCUUGGGUUGUAAACCUCUUUUCUCAGGGAAGAAAAAAAUGACGGUACCUGAGGAAUAAGCAUCGGCUAACUCCGUGCCAGCAGCCGCGGUAAUACGGAGGAUGCAAGCGUUAUCCGGAAUGAUUGGGCGUAAAGGGUCCGCAGGUGGCAUUGUAAGUCUGCUGUUAAAGAGUUUGGCUCAACCAAAUAAAAGCAGUGGAAACUACAAAGCUAGAGUUUGGUCGGGGCAGAGGGAAUUCC
rnacentral:rRNA from 1 species